rnacentral:lncRNA from 1 species
AAUCAAAAUACCAGUCUACACUGCAGUAGCUCAGUGUUGCAAUGCUUGCAAUUGACAGUUUUAUUGAUUUUUAUAUUUUUUAUGAUAAUUAUGUGUAUGAUGAUGUGUUUGCACAAUGUCUGAACACCGUAUGAAACAUUAGUACGCUUUGUGAAAUAUAAAGAGAUUUCAUGGCAUUGUGUAUUAUAUUUCAGAGGUGCCAGCUUGUUCUACAUUUCUUCAAAUUGAGUUUUUGGCUGGAUUGGUCAGGUGGAAUGAAGCGACUGCCGUGGCCUCAGAGGGCCCGCAGACACCUCAGUCUUGCAUUGGGGUUCUCCAACAAGCUGUCAACCAGCUCGGAGAGGAAGUGCUUGGAAACAACAUUGUGUCUACUAUCAGUACAAGUAAAUACACUUGUGAACUGAUUGGGUUAGAGUACCUGUACCAUCAGACUGGCAAAGCAAUCCAGGACAGCAGAUUUAUCAUUAGACAGAUGGAAACCACUGACCUCCAAGUGGCUAAAAGUGAGGGAUGCUGCAAACUAGAGGACAUUGGGGAUUGGACAAUCACACAACAACCCAUCCCAUCUCUGUUAGAAGCUUCUCGAUCGAUGUAUGCAAGAUAUGCCUCAGGUUGGUAUUGCCAAGAGGCAUUUUUAAAAUAUUAAUGCAAGGCAUUCAAUCUUUUCCAGGACAAGCCGAGGUGCUCUGUUUCAGGAGGAAGAUCUCUUUCCUCCAAACACAUCCUCGCCUGCUCCAGAGAAGGUUCCUUUCAUAAAAGAAGAGGAUAAUUGCAACGACAAGCCUCUCAUUUCAA